AAUCCGCCUGGCGGGGGGAGCGGGGGGGGAGCGGGGGGGAGGCAGACGGGUUUAAAGCACACCGGCGUGGAGUUGACAGCAGCUCAGGUCUGACGCCGGACACUCACAGUCACCGAAGGGCGACCGUUCCAGCGUCGUCACACAAUGAGCGGACCCACGAACGCUGUUCAGUUCCCGCCCGGUGUGUUCGCCGACAACAACAACAGCAGCCCCGCUGUGUGCGGCCGCGGGGCCUCAAACAUCGCCUGUGAGCGCUGCGGCCUGGUUUGUCGAGGGGAGGUGGUCCGAGUCAAGAGCACACACUUCCACGUGCAGUGCUUCACCUGCCAAGUGUGUGGCUGUGACUUGGUGCACUCGGGCUUCUUCCACCACUCUGGUGAGUACAUCUGUACGGAGGACUUCCAGCGCCUCUAUGGGACCCAGUGUGACAGCUGUGAGCAGUACAUCACCGGAGAGGUGGUUUCCGCCCUGGGGAGGACGUAUCACCCGCGCUGCUUCGUCUGCAGCAUCUGCAGGAGUCCGUUCCCGAUCGGCGACAGGGUGACCUUCUGUGGGAAGAAGUGUGUGUGUCAGCAGUGCUCCCAGUCUCUGAGCAGCGACAAGCCCGUCAAGGUCCACGGGCCGAGCUACUGCGCCGGCUGCGGGGCAGAGAUCAAGCAGGGCCAGUCCCUGCUGGCUCUGGGGAGGCAGUGGCACGUCACCUGCUUUAAAUGCCGGACGUGCGGCUGCGCGCUCACCGGCGAGUACAUCAGCAAGGACGGGGCGCCGUACUGCGAGAGCGACUACCACGCUCAGUUCGGGAUCCGGUGUGAGAGCUGCAAGGGCUUCAUCAGCGGAAGCGUGCUGGAGGCUGGAGGGAAGCACUACCACCCCAGCUGUGCCAGGUGUGCCCGCUGUCAGAUGAUGUUCCUGGAAGGAGAAGAGAUGUACCUCACGGGAUCAGAAGUUUGGCACCCCAUGUGUAAAGAAGCGGCGCGGCUGGAGAGAAAGCUGAGGCUGAGACGCACCUCCGAGACGGCGUCCGUCUCCCCGCCAGGCUCCUCCCCCCUCCUGGGCUCUCCCCGUCGACUCAUCUGUUCUAAGGCUGACGGGGACGUCUUGCACUACAAGCAGCUGGCAGCGCUGCCCAGGGUCAAAGCAAUAUAUGACAUCCAGCGUCCAGACAUCAUCCCUUAUCAGGCCGACCGCGCACACGCUCACCUGUCGGACGACAACCUGGAGCGAAUCAGCUGCAGACAGUCGCUGGGCUCCUCUUCACCGUUCUCUAACGAUCUACUGGACGGCAUAGAUCUGAGGACGAGGCGCUCCUCCAGCUCCACCUUCACUGACUCCCCUGCACACAGUCGCCACAGAGGCUCCCCGCUGCAUUAUUACCUCCCUGGAAGUGAAAGUGGCAGGAGUUCACCCUAUUACAGUCAGCCAGAACCCAGGUGUGCCACGCCCACCAGCACCACCUCCCCAGCCCUCAGGCAUUUCCAUGUGCCAGCUUCUGAGGAGACCAACAUCUACAGAAAACCUCCCAUCUACAAAAGGCAAGACCUCUCUCCAGCCGCCCGUCAGAGUAAGACCAACGAGAACCUCAUCAACUCCAGCCACCGGUCCACGUCCGUCUGUAACAGCAUCUAUCGCACCGACUCCAACUUCUACCCGUACGCGGGCUCUCCUAAAGUCUCCAGAGCCAGGAGGUUUUCAUCAGGAGGAGAGGAGGAGGGAUGGAACCACAACAUAAACAGGGGAAUCGGCAGGAUGAUCCUGAAGGAGGAGAUGAAGGCGCAGGCGGGCCAUCGCCACGGCGAUCAGUGGGGCAGCGGACGCAGCUCCCGCUGCAGCAGCAAGGAGGCGCUGAACAGCGUGGACUACGGCUCGCUCAACGGCUCUCCCAGGUCCCUCCACAGUGGCGACGGCGACUCGUACGUUGCCAAAUCGGCAUCGUUGCCAGGUUACGGCAGGAAUGGACCCAACAGGCCGGGGAGCGCGGGUGCAGAUUAUUACCAGUAUGACAGCAGUAAUGCAGUUAAUUGGCAGAUCAGAGGUAAGUCUGCUGCACACGGGGAAUCUGCCUAUGCAGAGUUUACAGAGUCUGAUUGGUCGUUCCUGCUCACGCAUACAGAGUGCAAUAAUAGUAAUAAUAGUAAUGAGACUGUACUUCUCUUUUCUUUCAGAAUACAAGGUGAGACGCUCUUCACAAACCUGCCAGACGAUUAUUAUGGAGCCCUGAUGGAGACUAUUGCUCUGUGGAUCAUGAUUUAUUAGUAAUACUGUCUCUUUAUUAGAUCUACCCAUACGAAGACUUGAUGGUAUCAGUCAGAGGGCAGCAGCGUCUCCCCAGUGACGUGGACCGAGCCAGACUGGAGCGCCACCUGUCCCCAGAGGAGUUCUACCGGGUCUUUGGCAUGUCCAUGUCUGCCUUCGACCGCCUUGCUCAGUGGAAAAAGAACGAACUUAAGAAACAGGUUCGCUUGUUUUGAGACCGGGACCGUCUGACUCAAUGCAGGUGUACUGCCAACAACACACCGGGUCUCCAGAGGACUGAACCCUGGCUGAAAGCGGAGCAUCAGGCCGUCUGCUGCUUUGGGUCCUCAUCAGCUGAUUGGCCUAAAUGAGGGAAGUAGAGGACGGAGAGAUGAGGAAGGAACGAGGACAGAAUGAAGACCCUCACAGGCAGCGGAUGGGCCACGGUGACAGGACUGCGUCACCGCCUCUUGCCAGCAGGUGGCAGUGUGUAGUCAGCAUCACUGCGGCCCUCCGCAGUCAAAAGCAUCGGUAUUAAAUCAUACAAGGUCUGCUUCGUUGAGCAAAACAAGCAAAGACCGUUUGGGAGACAAACAGGCCGACAGGUUACUGAAAACACAUCAUUUAAAUAAGCUGACGUCAGUGAUAGUGCUUUUAUAAUGUCAUUAUGAAAACCAAAGGUUUUCUUCUUUUAUAUUAGUGGCAUGUGUUUGAUUUUAAUAUUUGAAGCCAUAUCAGUGUUAAAUUCUUUUCUAUGACUUGAAAACUGUAGUUGACUGAAGUGAUUUUUAAAUUAAGGUUUAACGUGAAUGACAGGAUGCUAGUUUAGGAUUUAAUAAUUCACAAGGUAUGUUUGUUUAACCUAUUUUGAUUCAAAUGAGUCAAAUCUUUUGUCACUUGAUGUCACAGUAAUGGACAACUUUCAAAAAUAGCGAGACUUCUAAAGAUAAAAACAAAUGAGAGGAGGUGAUUGGAGAAGUAACCAGCAGGGAGAGAAUGUGUCCAAGGAGGACCCUCAAGAUUAAAACAAAGAAAACCCCAUUAGGAUUAUAGAUUAAAGAUUUAUGAACGUAAUGAAAAUAGAAGCAUGCAGGAGGCUGAGAAGAAGUGUGUGCGUGCAUAUUAAAUAAGUGUGAAACCUCUGGAGUCAAGAAUCUAUAUUUCAUUUAUUGUACAGGCGUUUUUGAAUUUAGAAAACUAAUAAAUUAUUUUUAAAAAGUA